rnacentral:rRNA from 1 species
CUACGGGUGGCUCCAGUGGGGAAUAUUGCACAAUGGGCGCAAGCCUGAUGCAGCCAUGCCGCGUGUAUGAAGAAGGCCUUCGGGUUGUAAAGUACUUUCAGCGGGGAGGAAGGGAGUAAAGUUAAUACCUCUGCUCAUUGACGUUACCCGCAGAAGAAGCACCGGCUAACUCCGUGCCAGCAGCCGCGGUAAUACGGAGGGUGCAAGCGUUAAUCGGAAUGACUGGGCGUAAAGCGCACGCAGGCGGUUUGUUAAGUCAGAUGUGAAAUCCCCGGGCUCAACCUGGGAACUGCAUCUGAUACUGGCAAGCUUGAGUCUCGUAGAGGGGGGUAGAAUUCCAGGUGUAGCGGUGAAAUGCGUAGAGAUCUGGAGGAAUACCGGUGGCGAAGGCGGCCCCCUGGACGAAGACUGACGCUCAGGUGCGAAAGCGUGGGGAGCAAACAGGAUUAGAUACCCCCGUAGUC